rnacentral:rRNA from 1 species
UACGGGGGGGGCAAGCGUUGUUCGGAAUUACUGGGCGUAAAGGGCUCGUAGGCGGCCAACUAAGUCAGACGUGAAAUCCCCAGGCUUAACCUGGGAACUGCGUCUGAUACUGGAUGGCUUGAAUCCGGGAGAGGGAUGCAGAAUUCCAGGUGUAGCGGUGAAAUGCGUAGAUAUCUGGAGGAAUACCGGUGGCGAAGGCGGCAUCCUGGACCGGCAUUGACGCUGAGGAGCGAAAGCCAGGGGAGCAAACGGG